rnacentral:snoRNA from 1 species
GAGCCACGAUGUAAAUCAAUAAUACCCUGAAUUUUAUUUGAAAUAUAUUUCAUGAUGGUUUCUACACUUGAACUGAGCUCU